rnacentral:rRNA from 1 species
CCUACGGGAGACAGCAGUGGGGGAUAUUGCACAAUGGGGGAAACCCUGAUGCAGCGACGCCGCGUGGGUGAAGAAGCGCCUCGGCGCGUAAAACCCUGUCAGCAGGGAAGAAAAUGACGGUACCUGAAGAAGAAGCCCCGGCUAACUACGUGCCAGCAGCCGCGGUAAUACGUAGGGUGCAAGCGUUAUCCGGAUUUACUGGGUGUAAAGGGGGCGCAGACGGCGUUGCAAGCCAGGAGUGAAAGCCCGGGGCCCAACCCCGGGACUGCCCUUGGAACUGCGUGGCUAGAGUGCAGGAGGGGCAGGCGGAAUUCCUGGUGUAGCGGUGAAAUGCGUAGAUAUCAGGAGGAACACCGGUGGCGAAGGCGGCCUGCUGGACUGCAACUGACGUUGAGGCCCGAAAGCGUGGGGAGCAAACAGGAUUAGAUACCCCUGUAGUC